rnacentral:rRNA from 1 species
CCUACGGGGGGCAGCAGUGGGGAAUAUUGGACAAUGGGGGCAACCCUGAUCCAGCCAUGCCGCGUGUGUGAAGAAGGCCCUCGGGUGGUAAAGCACUUUCAGUGAGGAAGAACGCCUGGUGGUUAAUACCCAUCAGGAAAGACAUCACUCACAGAAGAAGCACCGGCUAACUCCGUGCCAGCAGCCGCGGUAAUACGGAGGGUGCGAGCGUUAAUCGGAAUUACUGGGCGUAAAGCGCGCGUAGGUGGCUUGAUAAGCCGGUUGUGAAAGCCCCGGGCUCAACCUGGGAACGGCAUCCGGAACUGUCAAGCUAGAGUGCAGGAGAGGAAGGUAGAAUUCCCGGUGUAGCGGUGAAAUGCGUAGAGAUCGGGAGGAAUACCAGUGGCGAAGGCGGCCUUCUGGACUGACACUGACACUGAGGUGCGAAAGCGUGGGUAGCAAACAGGAUUAGAUACCCGUGUAGUC